GACGAACGCUGGCGGCGUGCUUAACACAUGCAAGUCGAACGAAGUGGCGAACGGGUGAGUAACGCGUAAUCAACCUGCCCUUCAGAGGGGGACAACAGUUGGAAACGACUCCUAAUACCGCAUACUGAAGGAGGGGAUUGCGUCGGAUUAGCUAGUUGGCGGGGGAACGGCCCACCAAGGCGAUGAUCAGUAGGCGGGCUGGGAGGAUGAACGGCCAAAUUGGGACGGAGACACGGCCCAGAAUCCUACGGGAGGAAGCAGGGGGGAAUCUUCCGAAAUGGACGAAAGUCUGACGGAGCAACGCCGGGGGAGUGAUGACGGCCUUCGGGGUUUAAAGCUCUGUUAAUCGGGACGCGGUACCGGAAUAGAAAGCAACGGCUAACUACGUGCCAGCAGCCGCGGUAAUAC
rnacentral:rRNA from 1 species